rnacentral:rRNA from 1 species
AAUGAACGCUGGCGGCGCGCCUAAUACAUGCAAGUCGAGCGAGAAGACGUAGCAAUACGUUUGUAAAGCGGCGAACGGGUGAGGAAUACAUGGGUAACCUACCCUCGAGUGGGGAAUAACUAGCCGAAAGGUUAGCUAAUACCGCGUACGCUUCUUGGACUUCGGUUCAGGGAGGAAAGCGAUGCCGAGGGUAUCGCGCUCUUGGAUGGGCUCAUGUCCUAUCAGCUUGUUGGGAGGUAACGGCUCACCGAGGCUUCGACGGGUAGCUGGUCUGAGAGGACGAUCAGCCACACUGGCACUGCGACACGGGCCAGACUCCUACGGGAGGCAGCAGUAAGGAAUAUUGCGCAAUGGGCGAAAGCCUGACGCAGCGACGCCGCGUGGGGGA